GAAAUGCGAUAACUAGUGUGAAUUGCAGAAUUCCGUGAAUCAUCGAGUCUUUGAACGCACAUUGCGCCCCCUGGUAUUCCGGGGGGCAUGCCUGUCCGAGCGUCAUUGCUGCCCAUCAAGCACGGCUUGUGUGUUGGGUCGUCGUCCCCUCUCCGGGGGGGACGGGCCCCAAAGGCAGCGGCGGCACCGCGUCCGAUCCUCGAGCGUAUGGGGCUUUGUCACCCGCUCUGUAGGCCCGGCCGGCGCUUGCCGAACGCAAAUCAAUCUUUUUCCAGGUUGACCUCGGAUCAGGUAGGGAUACCCGCUGAACUUAA
rnacentral:misc_RNA from 2 species